rnacentral:rRNA from 1 species
UACAGAGGGUGCGAGCGUUGUUCGGAAUUACUGGGCGUAAAGGGCGCGUAGGCGGCUUAACAAGUCAGAUGUGAAAGCCCGAAGCUUAACUUCGGAAGUGCAUUUGAAACUGUUAGGCUAGAGUGCAGUAGGGGUUGGCGGAAUACCCAGUGUAGAGGUGAAAUUCGUAGAUAUUGGGUAGAACACCGGUGGCGAAGGCGGCCAACUGGGCUGCAACUGACGCUAAGGCGCGAAGGCGUGGGGAGCAAACAGG